rnacentral:tRNA from 1 species
GCCUAGCUGGCUAAGUCGGUAGAGCAGGAGACUCUUGAUCUCAGGGUAUGAGUUCAAGCCCCAUAUUGGGCA